UGACGGUAUUCAACCAGAAAGUCACGGCUAACUACGUGCCAGCAGCCGCGGUAAUACGUAGGUGGCAAGCGUUAUCCGGAUUUAUUGGGCGUAAAGAGAGUGCAGGCGGUUUCUUAAGUCUGAUGUGAAAGCCUUCGGCUCAACCGAAGAAGUGCAUCGGAAACUGGGAAACUUGAGUACAGAAGAGGGCAGUGGAACUCCAUGUGUAGCGGUGGAAUGCGUAGAUAUAUGGAAGAACACCAGUGGCGAAGGCGGCUGCCUGGUCUGUAACUGACGCUGAGACUCGAAAGCAUGGGUAGCGAACAGGAUUAGAUACCCUG
rnacentral:rRNA from 1 species